AUUGAACGCUGGCGGCAUGCCUUACACAUGCAAGUCGAACGGCAGCACGGGUGCUUGCACCUGGUGGCGAGUGGCGAACGGGUGAGUAAUACAUCGGAACGUACCUUAUUGUGGGGGAUAACGCAGCGAAAGCUGUGCUAAUACCGCAUAAUCCCUAAGGGGGAAAGCGGGGGACCGUAAGGCCUCGCGCAAUUAGAGCGGCCGAUACCUGAUUAGCUAGUUGGUGAGGUAAAGGCUCACCAAGGCAACGAUCAGUAGCUGGUCUGAGAGGACGAUCAGCCACACUGGGACUGAGACACGGCCCAGACUCCUACGGGAGGCAGCAGUGGGGAAUUUUGGACAAUGGGGGCAACCCUGAUCCAGCAAUGCCGCGUGAGUGAAGAAGGCCUUCGGGUUGUAAAGCUCUUUUGUCAGGGAAGAAACAGCAGCUCUAACACAGUAUGCGAAUGACGGUACCUGAAGAAUAAGCACCGGCUAACUACGUGCCAGCCGCCGCGGUAA
rnacentral:rRNA from 1 species